rnacentral:rRNA from 1 species
GACGAACGCUGGCGGCGUGCCUAAUACAUGCAAGUAGAACGCAGUUGCGAACGGGUGAGUAACGCGUAGGUAACUGCCUCAUAGCGGGGGAUACCUCUUGGAAACGAUAGCUACUACCGCAUACUGUGAGAUGGACCUGCGUUGUAUUAGCUAGUUGGUGAGGUAAAGGCUCACCAAGGCGACGAUACAUAGCCGACUUGAGAGGGUUAUCGGCCUAACUGGGACUGAGACACGGCCCAGACUCCUACGGGAGGCAGCAGUAGGGGAUGUGUGGAAAUGGAAGGAAGUCUGACCGAGCAACGAGGCGUGAGUGAAAAUGGUUCUCGGAUCGGAGGGCUAUGUAAAUAGAGAAGCGGUAACUAACCAGAGAUGGACGACUAACUACGUGCCAGCAGCCGCGGUAAUUC